AUUGAACGCUGGCGGCAGGCCUAACACAUGCAAGUCGAGCGGAGCUGCGGACGGGUGAGGAAUGCCUAGGAAUCUGCCUGGUAGUGGGGGAUAACGUCCGGGAAGGGGCGAUAAUACCGCAUAAUAUCAAGUUAGCCUAGGUCGGAGUAGCUGGUUGGAGGGGUAAAGGCCUACCAAGGCGACGAGCCGUAACUGGUCUGCGAGGAUGAUCAGUCACACUGGAACUGAGACACGGUCCAGACUCCUACGGGAGGCAGCAGUGGGGAAUAUUGGACAAUGGGCGAAAGCCUGAUCGAGACAUGCCGCGUGUGUGAAGAAGGUCUUCGGAUUGUAAAGCACUUUAAGUUGGGAGGCGUUAUCAACAGAAUAAGCACCGGCUAACUUCGUGCCAGCAGCCGCGGUAAUUC
rnacentral:rRNA from 1 species